rnacentral:rRNA from 1 species
GAUGAACGCUAGCGGCAGGCCUAACACAUGCAAGUCGAGGGGUAGAGUUCUUCGGGACUUGAGACCGGCGCACGGGUGCGUAACGCGUAUGCAAUCUACCUUAUACAGGGGAAUAGCCCCAGAGAAAUUUGGAUUAAUGCCCCAUAGUGUUAUCGAAUCGCAUGGUUUGAUAACUAAAGUUCCAACGGUAUAAGAUGAGCAUGCGUCCCAUUAGUUAGUUGGUAAGGUAACGGCUUACCAAGACAAUGAUGGGUAGGGGUCCUGAGAGGGGAGAUCCCCCACACUGGUACUGAGACACGGACCAGACUCCUACGGGAGGCAGCAGUGAGGAAUAUUGGUCAAGUGGGCGCAAGCCUGAACCAGCCAUGCCGCGUGCAGGAAGAAGCAUCUAUGGUNUGUAAACUGCUUUUGUACGGGAAGAAACACUCCUACGUGUAGGAGCUUGACGGUACCGUAAGAAUAAGGAUCGG